AAAUUGAAGAGUUUGAUCAUGGCUCAGAUUGAACGCUGGCGGCAGGCCUAACACAUGCAAGUCGAACGGUAACAGGAAGCAGCUUGCUGCUUCGCUGACGAGUGGCGGACGGGUGAGUAAUGUCUGGGAAACUGCCCGAUGGAGGGGGAUAACUACUGGAAACGGUAGCUAAUACCGCAUAACGUCGCAAGACCAAAGAGGGGGACCUUCGGGCCUCUUGCCAUCGGAUGUGCCCAGAUGGGAUUAGCUUGUUGGUGAGGUAACGGCUCACCAAGGCGACGAUCCCUAGCUGGUCUGAGAGGAUGACCAGCCACACUGGAACUGAGACACGGUCCAGACUCCUACGGGAGGCAGCAGUGGGGAAUAUUGCACAAUGGGCGCAAGCCUGAUGCAGCCAUGCCGCGUGUAUGAAGAAGGCCUUCGGGUUGUAAAGUACUUUCAGCGGGGAGGAAGGUGUUGUGGUUAAUAACCGCAACAAUUGACGUUACCCGCAGAAGAAGCACCGGCUAACUCCGUGCCAGCAGCCGCGGUAAUACGGAGGGUGCAAGCGUUAAUCGGAAUUACUGGGCGUAAAGCGCACGCAGGCGGUCUGUCAAGUCGGAUGUGAAAUCCCCGGGCUCAACCUGGGAACUGCAUUCGAAACUGGCAGGCUUGAGUCUCGUAGAGGGGGGUAGAAUUCCAGGUGUAGCGGUGAAAUGCGUAGAGAUCUGGAGGAAUACCGGUGGCGAAGGCGGCCCCCUGGACGAAGACUGACGCUCAGGUGCGAAAGCGUGGGGAGCAAACAGGAUUAGAUACCCUGGUAGUCCACGCCGUAAACGAUGUCUAUUUGGAGGUUGUGCCCUUGAGGCGUGGCUUCCGGAGCUAACGCGUUAAAUAGACCGCCUGGGGAGUACGGCCGCAAGGUUAAAACUCAAAUGAAUUGACGGGGGCCCGCACAAGCGGUGGAGCAUGUGGUUUAAUUCGAUGCAACGCGAAGAACCUUACCUGGUCUUGACAUCCACAGAACUUUCCAGAGAUGGAUUGGUGCCUUCGGGAACUGUGAGACAGGUGCUGCAUGGCUGUCGUCAGCUCGUGUUGUGAAAUGUUGGGUUAAGUCCCGCAACGAGCGCAACCCUUAUCCUUUGUUGCCAGCGGUCCGGCCGGGAACUCAAAGGAGACUGCCAGUGAUAAACUGGAGGAAGGUGGGGAUGACGUCAAGUCAUCAUGGCCCUUACGACCAGGGCUACACACGUGCUACAAUGGCAUAUACAAAGAGAAGCGACCUCGCGAGAGCAAGCGGACCUCAUAAAGUAUGUCGUAGUCCGGAUUGGAGUCUGCAACUCGACUCCAUGAAGUCGGAAUCGCUAGUAAUCGUGGAUCAGAAUGCCACGGUGAAUACGUUCCCGGGCCUUGUACACACCGCCCGUCACACCAUGGGAGUGGGUUGCAAAAGAAGUAGGUAGCUUAACCUUCGGGAGGGCGCUUACCACUUUGUGAUUCAUGACUGGGGUGAAGUCGUAACAAGGUAACCGUAGGGGAACCUGCGGUUGGAUCACCUCCUUA
rnacentral:rRNA from 1 species